AACUUAAAGGAAUUGACGGGGGCCCGCACAAGCGGAGGAGCAUGUGGUUUAAUUCGAUGAUACGCGAGGAACCUUACCUGGGCUCGAACGUAAGAUGACUGUAGGUGAAAGCUUACAUCUCUUCGGAGCAUUUUUACGAGGUGCUGCAUGGUUGUCGUCAGCUCGUGCCGUGAGGUGUCGGGUUAAGUCCCAUAACGAGCGCAACCCCUACCUUUAGUUGCCAUCAGGUUAAGCUGGGGACUCUAAAGGAACUGCCUACGCAAGUAGUGAGGAAGGCGGGGAUGACGUCAAAUCAGCACGGCCCUUACGUCCAGGGCUACACACGUGCUACAAUGGCCGGUACAAAGGGCAGCUACCUGGUGACAGGAUGCUAAUCUCAAAAGCCGGUCUCAGUUCGGAUCGGAGUCUGCAACCCGACUCCGUGAAGUUGGAUUCGCUAGUAAUCGCGCAUCAGCCAUGGCGCGGUGAAUACGUUCCCGGGCCUU
rnacentral:rRNA from 1 species